ensembl:lncRNA
GCCUCUGCAGCUGCUGACAGCGUCGGGCUGGGCCUGCGCACAGGACAGCGGCCUCAUCCACGGCCCCGCCGCACUGUCAUUCAGCGGGGACAAAGGGCUCCACCAGCGGUUGUUCUUGAGAGACAACUUAUUGUCAUCUGAAGGGACCUGCCCCCGUCCCCCGCAAAAAGCAGUAUACCUAAGCUCAGGAAAGUCCCGUGCACAAGACAAGGACAUCCAGUUCUGUUUUAAAACCAAGCUUGGAGUAGACCACACAGACAGCUCACCCACCCGCAUCGCCCCUGGAGCACGUCCAGCCUUCUGGUCCCUCGGUGGGUGCUUUUCUGUCUUCUAGGAAAGGAGACAAUCUAUAUGGAGAUCAGGAAGUCCCUAACGGGUAAGGAAUUUAAAUGCAUAUUUGCUCAUAAUCAUAUAAGAUGAC